CAUUUCUUCCCAGCACUGGUAUUCCAUACUUCUUUAGCACACAAAGAGUUGAGAGGGGACACAGCUGGGACAGCUGAUACAGACUGACCAAAGGGGUAUUCCAGACCAAAUGAUGUUGAUUCACCAAUAAAAGCUGUGGAGAGAAGGCAGAAGUUGGGGACAUUCGAAGUGAUGGUUUUUGUGUUUGCAAGUAACCGUUCUGCAUGAUGGAGCCCUAUGUUCCUGGGAACGGCUGAACACCUCUCUGUCCAUGGAGACAAGAGUAACUCCUGCUGAUGAAUGUCUUGAAAAUGGCUGUUCGGGGAACAGAGGUGGACAGUGUAGAAUAAGAUUCACAAUUAAGUACAUUUUGACUGCUGGAACUGACCAAGUUGGGGGCAGCUUCUACAAUGUUCUGUAAAUGUAGUUGGAGGACGUU